UGCAGGGAUNCCGAGAGUCUGGAGUUAGCCC
rnacentral:piRNA from 1 species